GAACCAAAGCAGGAAUUUAUUGAAAACAAAAGUACACUCCACAGUGUGGGAGUGGGCCUGAGCAGCAGCUCAGGGGCCUGGAUACAGAAUCUUCCUGGUCCAAAUACCCACCAGAAUUUUCCCAUCGGCCACUUCAUGCUCACCUCAUGUAACUGAAAUGGUAGCCGCAAUCAGUCUGAUUGGUUGCAGAAAGCAGCCAACCAGAGGCUGAAGUGAAGUUACAAAAGUCACACUCCUGUGCAAACAAUCUGAUGAGUUGCAAAAAGCAACCAAUCAGAGGCUAGGAUGAAGUUACAAAGUUAUACUUCUUUGCAAAUGAAGACUUGACCAGCAAUCAGUCUUACUUGUUGCAGACAGCCAAUUUCCCAUCUGCCUCACAGAAAAGGUCAGAGGUAGUAGCCUCUGGUUCUUUGUUACUUAGACAUGGAAAGUUAGGGUUUUCUUUUCAUUUUGGUUCUAGGAAGUCAGAGCGAAAGAGCCUUAGGUUCCCUGCCUCCAGACCCUAUUUUCCUGCCUCAUAGAGGUUUAUGUCACUGUCCUUUUGAGAGAAUCCAGAUUCAGACUUUCAGUUCUGUGGCUGUGGGCCAAAACCAACAAAGACCCAAAUCCUCUGUCCUUGGGAGCUUGAGGAGAGUUUACCAGUUCAUGAUCCUAGUGGGUCUGAGAACUUUGCCUUUAAAAUCCACUCCUGGCCCCUGCCUACUGCUUCAUGGCCUGGGGAAUAGAGUGGAGGGGGCCACCCUUGGUCACCUUCCUUUGACUCUCCCAAGGAAACAGCACAACCAAGAAAUUGUGGAUCAACUAGAAUCACACUAGUAAUGUAAUUUCUUUGCUCACAGCAUGACUGCUGGGUUUGGGGGGCACUCAGAUGUAGAGGUGCUAGUCUCGUCUUGCUGACCCCCAGCCUGGGAAGAAGGCUCACCCCCCAGGUUCCACCUCAUCCCCACAGGGUCCCUGAUAACCUGGUCCCAUGGGUGGGCCUGUCCUGGGGCAUUGGUGGAAUUCUGGGGGCAUGUCUUUGCUGUGCCAUCUCUGCCUCCCCCUAGUAAGAGCUCUGUCUUCCUCUUCCUAUAGGAAAAGCAAGAAAGCCAGCAAAACCAGGGAACCCUAAAGAGGCAGUUAGAGGUGAGUGGAGGGUGUGAAGUUCCCUCCUGUCCUCUGGAGAAUGUUGCUUUCCUUCUCUUUCAGCACUUGCUUGGCUUUUCUCCCAAAGGUUCAAAUUCAGAGAACCAACAAACUGAUGUCUGAGAAAGGAAAAUUAAAUACUGAACUGUAUCAUAUGCAACGUGCUGCCAGGCACUUUGAAGGUGGGAAUCUGGGCACCCUGUCAUCCUUCAACCUGGUGCUUUGAUAGGCCUUUGGACCCCAUCUCAACCUCUCUCAUUUCAGGAGAGUCCAUGGAUCUGGCCAGCGGCCUGCAGUAUUCCCAGCAGUGUGUGGGAGAGUUGUAAUGGACUCUUUGCUGUCUCCAUGCAGCAGAAGAACAUGGACAGUGUGAGUCCUACCGCCUGCCCCAUCCCUUGGCAGCCCAGCUUCCCAGGUGGAGGAGUGAGGGACCUUUAGGUCCCUUCUGCAGGAUGGAGUGUCCUGCCCAGAAAGCAGCAUGGGCCAUUUCUCAUUGUUUUUGUGUGUGGUUGUUAGAGGCAGCCUGCGGCUGAGUUGGCUGCUGUGGAUGAGUUGGGGAGUGCUGUGGGGAGCAAGCAGAGCUUGGACGUGGAGCACUGGAUGCAGAGCUUAGAGGCCAAGUGCCUACCCUGCCUUCACUUGGCUGUGGCCUUAGCCAAAUCCUAGGUGUGGGAUAUGGUACUUGCACUGUGAAAGUACAGAAGAGUAUCUUUAGUAUGUUACCAUUUGUGGAGAGAGAAGGACCGUGUGUGUGUGUGUGUGUGUGUGUGUGUGUGUGUGUGUUGUGUGUAAGUACUAUGACAAUAUACAUAAAACAUGCUUGAAAGUGGUCUCAGAGCCAGACUGGGUCUGGCUGCGUUUUCUUGAGGCUCAAAAAUGAGAAGCAAACUAGGAAAGAAGGGGAUUUAUUGCUGUAACUGGAUACAGAGAGAAGGCUGGAGAUAACUCCACCAGACCAACUCGAAAUGUUACAGUAUUCUUAGUGUUUAUAUAGGUUGGGGUUAUGUGUCUACGUACAGUAUAGCAUUCGCCUAAGUCCACUGAUAACUAAUUUUGUUUCAACUAGAAGGUCAGAGGCAAAAAAUGCUUGCUAAGUCUGAUUAAGCUGUGAGGGCCCUGGUACCUUCAAGGUCUGUCUACUGUGGUACCUGAAUGAUUAUUUCUAUCUUACCUCCCUUACAGCUUGGUCUGGAGACUGCCUUAGACCCUCCGAUGAAUCUAUUCAAACAGCUGCCUCUGUUACCUUGACUCGUCUCAGAUUCCGUCGACCCGAGACAAGGAAUAUAAGACUGUCUCUAUUAUUUUGACUUGCUCCAGGUUAGGGAGAAGCCUAUGCAAGGGUCCUACUGACCAUAUGUUUCAUUUUUAGCUUUGAUACCUGGGCACGGAUUUCCCUAGGUUUAACUAUUUGCUCAAUGUUAAGGCAGCUCUGUGGAAAUUUGUUUGUAUAACUGGAGUGCGGUGCAGGGCUCUCUGUGUGACUGUCAUGAAGGCCUGUCUGUGUGACUAUCAGGGAGAAUUGGCCUGCCACAAAAGGAUUCAUACAAAACUCAGGAGAGAGAAACAGGGUGGCUGGGAGAUAUUUCACUUCUGUACCUUCUGAGUUUGGGACUAUGUGAAUUUAUCAUUCUUUCAAAAAGUGAACAAAAAGUUAAUUUCCUCCUUCCUUUCUGUGUCCCGACCCCCAGUGAAAAAAAGGGUUAGAGAAUCAGAUAUACCUGGGUGUUCAAAUCCCAGCUCUGUCUGAGUGAUCUUAGGCAAGCAAUUAACCUCUAAUACCCCAUUUUUUUAAUCUACGCAAUAGAGGUAAAAAUAGUAACUGUCUCAUAUGGUGGUUGUGAGAAUUAAAUGGGAUUGCUAGCAUGGUGCCUGGUGAAGCGCUCAAAGCUUCAAACAGUGGUAGUAAUAAGGGUAAUAACAAUAGCAAUAUUCUCUGAUCUCUCUGGGCCUCUGGUAGCCAGCUAUAAAUUUGAUCUCUUUCCCCGUCGCUUCCACCCUUAUUGAGUUCUUUGAGAAACAAAUGAGACUAUAGGCUUGGAAAUGCCAUGAAAACAUGUCAGCUGUGAUUGAGAGUAAGGAAUUGUUGACUGGGGAAUAGUUAUUAUAGCUAUUGUUACUGGCCAGCCAGCUGCUCCUCUGCCUGUUUUGUCCUGACUUAACCUUUCUGUAUUUGCAGUAUAUCAAGGAGGUAACCAAAGACAGAGAUGCCCUCAGGCUGGAGUCAUACAAGAAUAGGUAGGAUGGGGGAGGGUGGGAUGGGAGGUGUGGGGCCCUUAGCGUGGGUGAUGUGCUGGGAGGUGGGAAGGCUGCAGGUGAGCAUGGUGAGGUGAUCAUACAGG
rnacentral:lncRNA from 10 species